GCAACCAUGACUUUGGUCUCCAUCUUCAUCUGGACUCUCACCCUCUGGACUCAAGGGUCAUUUGGAGACAUAAUUAUGACUCAGACUCCAGGAUCUCAGACUGUUUCACCAGGAGACUCUGUUACUAUCAGCUGCAGAUCCAGUCAGAGCAUCAGCAACUAUCUCGCCUGGUAUCUGCAGAAACCUGGAGAAGCUCCUAAACUCCUGAUCUAUGGUGCUACUUAUCGUCAGUCUGGUGUUCCAGAUCGUUUCAGUGGGAGUGGAUCUGGAUCUGAUUAUUCUCUAAAGAUCAGUGGAGUUCAGUCUGAAGAUGCAGGAGAUUAUUACUGUCAGCAGGGUGGCUACACUCCGUUGACUUUUGGUGGAGGAACCAAACUGUCAGUUGGAAGUGUGGCCGCGCCCACCCUCACGGUCCUGCCCCCCUCCAGCGUGGAGCUGCAGCAGGGGAAGGCCACACUCGUGUGUUUGGCCAACAAGGGCUUCCCCUCAGACUGGAGGCUGAGCUGGAAGGUGGACGGGAGCAGCUGGAGCUCGGGGGUUAGCCAGAGCCCCGGGCUUCUGCAGAAGGACAAUGGCCUCUACAGCUGGAGCAGCACCCUGACCCUCCAGGAGGACCAGUGGCUAAAGAAGACAGUGACCUGUGAGGCCACCAAGGACUCCCAGACUCCUGUCAGCCAAACCCUGAGGAGAGAGCAAUGCACUGGGCAGUGAGCGUCCACGCAUGUGUUGGAGCUGCUAGAGCUCCUCUUGAUCUUCAGUGAGCUCAAACAUGGCUCUGCUUAAUGCUCUGAUCUUCAUCUCAUCACUUCCUCAUCACAAUAAAGAUCUUCAGUAUUAAUAUCUACA